GCUUCCUCGUCCGUCCAACUUAACGUGCAGGCUGCGCUUGUGCAUGUUCGAGAAGCUGGCCGACUAGCUUGUAGGUCCGCCCUUGAAGGGCCUUAGUGUGGUCGAUCAGCUGCUCGUAACUGGAGAAAUCCAGUAUCGAAAUUGGAAGUCAUUAAGAGAAGAGGAACAAACAAAUGUAGAUAUGGAAGGAACAUACUAUGAAAGAUGCAAAAUAUUAAGAACGUGGAAAUCUUACACAUUCGGUCGAUUAGGUUCCAUAAUAACGGUUCCAGUCUUUGAAUCAAUCUUUGCAUCAAGUUUUGAGUUUCGGAUGAGAUUCACAACCCAUCUCUCACCCUCCUCGUAAUUUAAAUUCAGUUUCUCAAAAAGCACCCUUGAAACACAUAGAACAUCCAUUCAAUGUUGGAUCAAAAGCUAAGACAAGCAACUAAAAACACUAAUCUCAUAAGUAAAAGCAUAUCUUGAAAGAGUUAAGAAGACCAAUGGGAAGUAAAUCACUAUAAUAAGAGAUACUCGAGCCUAUGUUCCUCGGAUUUGGGUGAGUUUCAAAUACCGGUAUGUUUAAUUGUUUUCUAAGUUUUUCCAUGCAUUGAUAAUAGCAAACCAAAGGUUUAUGUUGUGAUGUUUUGUGAUCUGCGCAUGUGCCUGCUGUGCAGAUGAAAACAUGCAUUACAUCUGUUUUGAUUUAAUAUUUUGUACAAAAUUUCAUCAAUCCUUAACAUGCAAUUAGCCAUAAAAAAAUCAUAACUCAGUGCAAUGUUAUGGGAAACCCAGCAUGCAAAGCAGACUUUGAGCCUAUUGGCAAUUUAACAUUCAAAUGGAUGUCCUUCCGUGUCAUUUACUCAUAAGAAGAAGUCAAUUAUCCACAUAAGAAGCUAAUUAUAUAAGUUUGACAAAGCAGAAACUUACCCCAUAUCAAUGCGCUGAUGAAUUCUGCAGUAUGUCUCGAAGAUAAAUAGACGAGCAUUCUCAAGAAACUCAUCUUUUAAUGGGACAGUAUUAAAGUUGCCCUCUUCAACUCUUUUUCCAAGGAAAGGAUCAUUCAGUAUCACCUACAACAAAGACGGGAAAAUAAGGGUGUAAAGAUAGAUCCUACAAUUCUGAUAUCAAACAUAAUGCUAAAGGCAACCAAAAAAGAUGGCAAAACUUCAAGCUAAAACAUUGCACAAAUUUAUGGUAUAAGAUAGUACAAUCUAGCUUACUUCUUCGCACUCCUUCAUCUUCUUCUGUGCUCCGUCAAAUUCAUAGUUGACAUAAACACAUGCCAAAAACUCCGUGAUGGGAUCUUUGUAAGAGCACUGAUCUUGCUGGAUAACCUUGAUAAAUUCUUUGAAUUGAGGUCUUCUCCUUUUGUUGACAAUAAAAGCAGUGGCUAAGUACCUUAGAAGAUGGGGAGCACUGGUUUGAAUGGCAUUUAGAUACCUGGAAAGAAGCGAAAUCACCUUGUAAGAUGAGACAACUACACAAAGUGGGAUAACAGAGAAAGGAAAUAUAUAAACCCAGAGAAAUAAUGCGUUAACCAAUGAAAGAAAGCAAUAAAAACAUCUAAAUUCAAACACAAUUUUAUGUUUAGUUCCAACAACAAUCUCCCUUAUGAAACAAAAUUCCAAACUAAGCAGUAUGGCGAACAUAUCACCUACUUUAGCCUCAAAACUUUGAACAAACAUUUUGCAAAUUACAUGGCAGGCUGUGCGUUAACUUUUCAUAUUAGAAAAACCAUGCAAAUGAUAGAAGAAAUCCACAAAGUUUCUAAACAUGUUCCAUUCCAACACAAUCAAAACCGAAGCAUGUGAACACAGCAGGAUCUUGAAACAGAAGUAAGUCAUGGCAUAAAAAGACAGGAAAAUGCACAAAGAACAAAUAAGCACAGAUGUGACUACCACACAAAUGAUGCAACUAACAACAUCAGUAACAAGACAUGGAAACCUUAAGUUUAGUUGUUAAAGUGACAUACUUGUCUUGAUUAAAUAGGUCGAUGACCUGUGUUCUUCCAUUGUCAUGGUUGAAAAAGAUGAAGAGGCUCCAAUGCAUAAGCCAUAUUCUACUCUGAACUUGGUUCAAAGGUGAUGAGAAGCUCUGCAGCAAAAAGACCAAUAAAUGAGUCAACGAAUAAUCGGAAAGCAAAUUGUCAAAACAAAAACCGAAUAAUCAACGGGGAUAUAACCAAAACCUUGGAAUCGAUUAUUUCUUUCAAACGAUUAAGUUCUUCAAGAGCAAUAUCCCAGUUUUGCAUCAGUAUCUCGGCAGCAAGCUUCCCCCACAAUGCACUCAAGCUCCUUUCGCUGUUAGUACAUAAAGCCCGAUACUGAUACAGAUAGUCAGCAGCACCAGAGUAGUUGCCACACUCAAAUUGGAAUUUUGCAUACUGAUAUAAUGCCUCUAUUUGAUCUGGACCAAUCUGUUAAAAAUAUAAUUUUAUCCACCAUUAAAUUAAAAAAAACUUUAAUUAAUUCAAACCCAGGCAAAAUCAAAACUUUAACAACAAAGGUCAUGCUAGAAUUUUAGCACAAGAAAGCCUAUGCAUCUAUUUGGUUAUUCUUUAUAUUUUCCUUAAAAAUCACAUAAUGUUAUGACUAAUACAAAUUCACACUUGAAUGGGUUAUUCACUUAAAAUCAAGAAGGGGUUAAAAUAACAUAAAAAUAACCUAAAAUUCAUCAAAAAGGGGGGGGGGGGGCAGACCUGGUAGCGGUCAUUGAGCAUCUGGAGAUUAUACUGUUUAUCAGAACGCAAUUCCUGAACAGCGUUAGGGUUUUGCAAGAAAGUGACGAGAGGAGCGGCGGCAUCUUCCAAAGCUUUGAGACGAGCGACAACUUCGACUCUCCUCUCGACCAUGUCCUGAGGGACAUCAUCGGUGCGGUAAAGGCUCUUAUGGAUAUCCAUAGCGUAAUCGACCAUGUUUGUCUUGUUCAAAAGCUCAAUCUUUGCUUUCAAGAUCUGUUCAUCUGGGUAUAGUUGUCGCUCUUGCAAGAACUCCAGCAAUGGAAACACUAAGUGCCUGUCUAGGUUCGGGCCGAUACGUGGGGUUAGAUCGUAAGUAGCCAUUGCCAGGGUUUACUCUGGUUUCUGGUUUCGUGCUUUUUGUUUGAUAUAAACAAAUUUAUACUAUAUAUAUUCCUUCUCCACUCCCUUAAUUCAACUGGAGUUAAGAGUUAAAAUAUAGUUUUAAAUUAUUUUUUAUUUUCGAAUUAAAUAUAAUAAGUUGUUUUUACAAAAAAAAAAAUACAAACGAGUUUAAAAAAAUUUUAUUAAUAUUAUUUAUAAUAAUUACUAGAUAAUUGUUGGUCAUGCUUAAGUAAUUAAAUACGAUACUAAUAUAUUUUAUACUUAUUUAAAUUUAUUUUGAUCUGAAAUAUAUGUUUAAAAUUUCGUUUAAGUCACAUAUUGUUUGUAUUCCUCCUCAUCCUUCUUUGGGUACAAACAAUAUUAUUUGGGCACGCACGAUUUUAGGUUUUUUUAUCCAUAACGCCUUUUGGUUUUUUUUAAAAAGUUUUUGGAACCCAUAGUUGAAAAUUUCAAGGGCCACAAAGAGUUAAAUUUUUUCUUUAACUAGCCUUCAAACAAAGACUUUGUCUAAUAUGGAGUGAACUAGGAGGAACUGAUCAUAAUAUCUCACGUCUUGUUUGUGGCCAUGAAAUAGAAGACAUGCUCCAUGUGCUUCAAGAUUGUUCGACAACAAAGGAAGUUUGGUUAUAGGUAAUAUCUUUUGAUAGACAACAAUGUUUCUUCUCUAGGUCUCUUCCGGAAUGGUUGACUUUAAAUCUUGUCUAUCACGUCCAAUUACCUAGUAAGGGGUAAUUUGUCCUUGUUUAUUCGGUUUGAUUGCGUGGCGCAUUUGGAAGAAUAGGGACCUAUUCAUCUUUCAAGACAUCACUUUGAUGACUUUUGAUACUAUCAAAGUCUAGUUCAGUUAGGUACAACAGUUUGAGUUAAGUCACAAAGGCCAUCAGGUGGACAUACUUGUCCACUAACGAAGCAGUAGGUAGUGGUGAUGGCAAUGCUUCCGUUAGAGGUGUUCCACAGGACCAACAUGAGAACUGGAUAUUGGGAUUUAAUCACUACUUAGGGCGAUGGUCAGUUUUUAAGGCUGAGUUACGGUGAAUUUUAGAUGGCCUAUUAGUAUUGCUUAGCAAAGGAUUCAGAAAGGCCGCGAUUCAGUCUAAGGUGGUUAAGUUGGUUAACAAGUUCUGGUAUUACAAUGUUUAAAAGGAUCCCGAGAAUUUUAUGAGCUAAAGGACAAUAGAGCAUUAGACACGUGCUUAGAGAACCCAAUCAUGCUGCUGAUUAUUUGACUAACAUGAAUUUACUCAAGCCUUCAUGUCUUUGAUGUUACCCCAAAUGAAAUUCUAUAGAUUAUACAACCAGACAAGAAAGUUUUUGUUAAUCUCGUGUUGAUGUAGUUCAGUUUUUUAUUUAAACACUAAAAAACAAAUUUCGUUUAAGUGUACCCAUAUUUGUAACAUAUUUGUAAAUGGAUCAUUAUUAUCUUUAAGAGAGAGAUCCACUUACAUAUUAUUAUUUUUAAUAACACAUUUAAAUCCAAAGUUCUCAAAUCUCAACACAACGCUAUACUUUUAAUAACUCGGUACAAGCAUUUAAAAAAUUUCUUGACAUAAGUUGAAAGAGCAGAAUACAAUUUGGAUUUAGAUAAUGAUUUAUCAGUCUUGUUCCUACUCAAAAACUAAAAUCACUGUUAAAUUUGUCUGAAAGAAAUAAACAAUCAGCAAAUAGCUCAAAAUUGCAUAUAAAUUCAAGAGCUUCCUCGUCCAACUUAACGUGCAGGCUGCGCUUGUGCGGGUUCGAGAAGCUGGCCGACUAGCUUGUAGGUCCGCCCUUGAAGGGCCUUAGUGUGGUCGAUUAGCUGCUCGUAACUGCAGAAAUCCAGUAUCGAAAUUGGAAGUCAUUAAGAGAAGAGGAACAAACAAAUGUAGUUAUGGAAGGAACAUAGUAUGA
rnacentral:lncRNA from 1 species